rnacentral:rRNA from 1 species
CCGAUUUCUAUAUCUUCUGGUGGUUCAGGAAGUUCGAUAGGAUGGUCAGGCUCCCAAGUUGGCUCUGUGUCCCAUCUUGGCCCAGUGUCCCACUUUGGUUCAUUAUCCCAAAUAGGUCCUGGAUCUGAUAUUGUCGAGGAAAUGUCCUCCUUAUCAUGCAUUGAAGGGGCUGCCCAAGAUAACCGUGUAUCAUUAGAAGCUGUGACACCAACUGAAUUUCUAUCGGUCCUUGUUUUGGACCUCGUUCUUGGCCAGUAUGAUGCAUGA